CGCCAGACUCCUACGGGAGGCAGCAGUGGGGAAUCUUCCGCAAUGGGCGAAAGCCUGACGGAGCAACGCCGCGUGAUCGAAUGAAGGCCUUCGGGUUGUAAAGAUCUGUUGACAGGGACGAAUAAGCAAUGCGAAUAGUUUUGUGUAUGACGGUACCUGUUUAGAAAGCUCCGGCUAACUACGUGCCAGCAGCCGCGGUAAUACGUAGGGAGCAAGCGUUGUCCGGAAUUACUGGGCGUAAAGGGCGCGUAGGUGGGCGCUUAAGUCAGGUGUGAAAACUCCGGGCUCAACCUGGAGACUGCACUUGAAACUGGGUGUCUUGAGGGCAGGAGAGGAAAGUGGAAUUCCUAGUGUAGCGGUGAAAUGCAUAGAUAUCACGCAGAACUCCGAUUGCGAAGGCAGCAUACCGGCGCCCGACUGACGCUGAGGCACGAAAGCGUGGGGAUCGAACAGGAUUAGAUACCCCGGUA
rnacentral:rRNA from 1 species